AUUGAACGCUGGCGGAAUGCUUUACACAUGCAAGUCGAACGGCAGCACGGACUUCGGUCUGGUGGCGAGUGGCGAACGGGUGAGUAAUACAUCGGAACGUGCCCAAUCGUGGGGGAUAACGUAGCGAAAGCUACGCUAAUACCGCAUACGAUCUAAGGAUGAAAGCGGGGGAUCGCAAGACCUCGCGCGAUUGGAGCGGCCGAUGGCAGAUCAGGUAGUUGGUAGGGUAAAGGCCUACCAAGCCGACGACCUGUAGCUGGUCUGAGAGGAUGAUCAGCCCCACGGGGACUGAGACACGGCCCAGACUCCUACGGGAGGCAGCAGUGGGGAAUUUUGGACAAUGGACGCAAGUCUGAUCCAGCCAUUCCGCGUGCAGGAUGAAGGCCCUCGGGUUGUAAACUGCUUUUGUACAGAACGAAAAGGCUCUGGUUAAUACCUAGGGCUCAUGACGGUACUGUAAGAAUAAGCACCGGCUAACUACGUGCCAACCGCCGCGGUAA
rnacentral:rRNA from 1 species